AACCUCUGAAUAACAUAGUAUAGGUAUGGCAUUAUCAAUGCUAUGUAGUCGCGGUACUAUCUAGCAGAAUCCUUCGAGAAAUUAGGAUUUAGGCUGAGUUAGGAUUAUUCUGAAAGGGGCUUGGAGUAUGUUGCGGUUGUGGUAAGGCGAGGAAACGAUGUACAGUGCAGUGCACCAGUGUCAAUCGUACGGUCAAAUGGGAGUAUGUAAGUAAACAUACAGGAAUCGACAGUGCGACUUUAUCAAGUACUUAGCUUCCACACAACGCAGUACUCACGCUAAAAUUCCCUGCUACUUACCAGCUAGUUCAAGCUCAUUUACCACUAGCAGUACACACCACAAGGCAACCAGGGACUUCAUCUAGGCGUCCGCAAGAGCCUGAAAACCAACAGACGGCCAAAUCAUACGGUGAACACGCUCACUCGCUCUCAUAUCAUGGCAUACAUCAAGGUGCUCUUCAGUACACAAGAACCACAGGCCUGUGACGUCACUACCUCCUGUCCCCCUUCAUUCUCCUGUUACUGCAUGCGGAGCUAAUUACCCAAAUUAUUUAAUUAGAUUGGUCAACAUAUAAUUAAAUUAGAUCGUAUUUCUGGGAUUAGAAAUGUUACUAUUUAGUAAGCGCGGAAAUUAUUUUUGCAGUAAAUUUGAUUUUGUUUUGGUCCUUUCGAGUGCAUUUCGUUUGUAUGCUCUGCCUGAUUGUGACUUGAAGUGGACAGGUUUUGAAACUUGACACUCAAAUAAACACCUUAUAUACAAACAACUUGAAAGACAUAUUAUGGCUCUAGUGGGCGCUCACACUCGAUGAACAUGAGAGGCGAGGUAUUAUGGCUUAUGUUCAGAAAAGUGACAGCGUCUGCUAUAUAGCCGCACUGUUUGUGGACUACUACUGAACUUGCAAUCACCCUAGUGCUUGCCCCUUCUUUGGAGAUAGAUGUUAGAGAGUCGAAUUCACUUAGAAAUGCUUGAUUCCUUGUUGCCGCACUUAAUGAUGGUCUAGUCAACUGUGCCUUUUUAUAACCCUUCGCGCUGAUCUACACUACCUCCUUUGUUCAAUUAAGUCACGAUUAAGAGAUCCCAUAUGCCAAAUGGCUCAUCUAUGCCGCGCUCGAGGUCAUUACGCCGAAGUGGAAGCCACGCAGGAUCGUACGAGUGAAAUUACAUCCAAACCAACAUCACCGAGGGUGGCAUUUAACGACAAGCCGUCCACAAAGUACACCCAAAAGUACACAUUCUCAAGGCAUGACGUACAGUUGGCUCUAGCGAGUAUUGGUCUAUUACUCAAAGCGCAGAGUGAUUUGAUCAAGCUGGCAUCCUCGCCAAUAUUACAGGAAGGGUUUUAUUCCUAAAAACAAAACAGAUGGCCGCCAAACGUGGUCGGUGAUAUCCCGGAUCGAGUACUUGUAAAAGCAAUCUCUUAAACGAUCCGAGUACAACUAAAUCAUAAACAAACAAAGGAGUACUUAAUUUGUUGUCGCAAUCAAUCGCGCGCGCAUAUAACCCGUUGCGUCAAUCAUAAGAGAUUCGGUUUAGAAUUAAAGCACUUGCUUCUGAAUUAAGUUAGGGCCGCGUUAGAAAACCCACAUUACACCAAUCCGUCAGUACAUUCGUCUGUGAACAUCGUGAGUUAUAUCUGGAAAGGGCGCUAGUGCCCAAGAUAGCCGCGAGCUUUCAACAAGUCCAGAACAAGACCCACUGUUCAGCGUCGACUAAUAAGAACGCAGGAACUAUGUCAGUUUGACUUAAAUGACAAGAGAAGGCCAAGUGGAGGCAACCAGAGGCACCGCCUGUCAUUGGCUCUCGCGCAAGACCCAAAUCUGAACUCUCGAGCUUAGCAAAGCAGUUACGCGUCAAAAAAACAGUCACGAGGGAGAAAACGGAUAGAAUCAAUACGCGCGUACACUCCAUCAGCACCAAUUCACCACAUCUCCGCGUGUCUCGCGCAGUUCCCCGCACAACUCGGCGUGUUUCCUAUUCUCUUAUCUCUACAUCAAUCAACCUAUGUUAUAAAAGAAGCAAGCUACAGAGAUAACACUAAUUUAAAGUAGCUGUCUUUCUUCGUUUGGUCAGGAAAUCACAGACUGCCGCCGCUGUGGCCCGUUCAGAAAUUGAACGAAGAUGGCCUAGUGGAUUAAUUCCUUCCUUUAGCUUAGAUCUUUGGCGUUCACGAUAUUUCAAGGUUAUCAUGAAAAUUCUUCGACAAAGAUGUUUGAUAACCGAUUUUGUUCCAGAAAAUGGUAUAAAGACAACACGCGAUCCUUUGUGGUCGAUGAAAGAGUGUCAUAGGUUUUUCCACAAUGAUAACAAACUAAUUCUUUUCCAGAGGAAGGCUUAAAGAUUUUUAAGCGCUAUAAAAAUGUCAUUAAAAAGUUGAGAAAUUC